rnacentral:rRNA from 1 species
CGUAGAUUGAACGCUGGCGGCAGGCCUAACACAUGCAAGUCGAGCGGCAGCGGGAAGUAGCUUGCUACUUUGCCGGCGAGCGGCGGACGGGUGAGUAAUGUCUGGGGAUCUGCCCGAUGGAGGGGGAUAACUACUGGAAACGGUAGCUAAUACCGCAUAACGUCGCAAGACCAAAGUGGGGGACCUUCGGGCCUCACACCAUCGGAUGAACCCAGAUGGGAUUAGCUAGUAGGUGGGGUAACGGCUCACCUAGGCGACGAUCCCUAGCUGGUCUGAGAGGAUGACCAGCCACACUGGAACUGAGACACGGUCCAGACUCCUACGGGAGGCAGCAGUGGGGAAUAUUGCACAAUGGGCGCAAGCCUGAUGCAGCCAUGCCGCGUGUGUGAAGAAGGCCUUCGGGUUGUAAAGCACUUUCAGCGGGGAGGAAGGAGUAAGUGUUAAUAGCACUUAUUAUUGACGUUACCCGCAGAAGAAGCACCGGCUAACUCCGUGCCAGCAGCCGCGGUAAUACGGAGGGUGCGAGCGUUAAUCGGAAUUACUGGGCGUAAAGCGUACGCAGGCGGUUUGUUAAGUCAGAUGUGAAAUCCCCGAGCUUAACUCGGGAACUGCAUUUGAAACUGGCAGGCUAGAGUCUCGUAGAGGGGGGUAGAAUUCCAGGUGUAGCGGUGAAAUGCGUAGAGAUCUGGAGGAAUACCGGUGGCGAAGGCGGCCCCCUGGACGAAGACUGACGCUCAGGUACGAAAGCGUGGGGAGCAAACAGGAUUAGAUACCCUGGUAGUCCACGCUGUAAACGAUGUCGAUUUGAAGGUUGUGGCCUUGAGCCGUGGCUUUCGGAGCUAACGCGUUAAAUCGACCGCCUUG